rnacentral:lncRNA from 1 species
UUCUUGAAGAAUUACUUAGGCUUGCCUUGAUUUUUCUUGACUAGGGUUUAACCCCUUUGGGAAAGAAUGCUCUCUUGUUCCUGAGGAGAUGAUCUUGAGAUAAAACCCUAAUCUUGUGGUUGAGAGUGUAAGAGAGGUUUUUAAGAUGCUUAACUGAAAAAAAUGAGAAAAAUUACGCCUCUUUAAGGUUAUAAAUCGUAGAAGGUGAAAGAAAAGACCAAAAUACCCUUAUGAAAUAAAUUCCCGGUUGUUGAAAAUCAUAGCUGACGACAUUUGUGACAAGGCGUCAAAAGUGUGGUAAGCCGUCAAAAAUGUCGUCACACAGGAGCUGGAACUGAUGGUUUCUGCCUAAGUCUGACGACCUUCGUGGUAGGGCGUCACAACCACGAAUGUCGUCACACAGGAGCUGGUUUCUGCCUAAGGCUAACGACCUUCGUGGUAGGGCGUCACAAAUGUGGUAAGCUACCACGAAUGUCAUCAUAUAGGAGCUGGAUUCUGCCUAAGGCUAACGACCUUCAUGAUAGGGCGUCAUAAAUGUGGUAAGCUACCACGAAUGUCGUCACACAGUUUCCAGCCUGACAUGGUGGAGUAAAAUAGGAAUAACUCUUUGCUCCGAUAUCGAAUUUAGACGAAAUUGAUAUCGUUGGAAAGAUAAUUCAAUUAUCUAUCUGUUGAUAGGUCAUAAGCUCAAAAAUUCCAAGUGUAAUGAGAGAUAUGUUCGUUUGAAGUUGACUAUACCAAUAUCCUUCUCAAGAAUUCAAUCGGUAAGAAAUGUUUUGACUCAUCUGAUAGCUGGGAGUUAUUUGAAGCCUUAAUAUACAUCUAACUUACUCAUAAAACUAUAAAAGAACAACGAUGUACUACGCAUGAGCUUGAUACAUGGCUAUAAUAUUGGUUUGGAUUUUUCAGGGUAUUACGCAUACACUCACAUACCAAAGACACCUAUAUACACAGCCCUACGAUUACUAACCCGAGUACACAAGAUCUCUCUUGACUGCUUGCUACGACCCACACACUCACACUAACUAGCCUUCUACCCUUAUCCACGCCCUCCACACCUUCCUAUCUAGGGUCAUGUCCUAAAUAAGCUGAAGUUGUUUCAUGUCAUGUCUAAUCACUUCCCUCCAAUAUUUCUUCGACCUACCUCUACCCCUCCUAAAGCCAUCCAAAGCUAGCUUCUCACACCUACGAACUAGGACAUCUGCGCCCCUCCUCAUCACAUGCCCAAACCAUCUCAGCCUUCCCACAUCUUGUCCUUCACCGGAGCCACUCCUACCUUCUCUUGGAUAAUCUCAAUCCUAACUCUGUCCCUCUAGUAAGCCCACACAUCCAAUGCAACAUUCUCAUUUCCGCCACCUUCAAUUUUUGGAUGUAGAAGUGCUUGACUGGCCAACACUCCACUCCAUACAACAUGACCGGACGGACUGUCACUCUAUAGAAUUUGCCUUUAAGCUUAAGGGGCACCUUCUUAUCACACAACACUUCCGAGGCGAGCCUUCACUUCAUCCAACCUGCUCCAAUACAUUUAGAAACAUCCUCAUCAAUCUCACCAACAAUAAUAACAAAAACAUAUUCAGUAGAUUCCCACUUAGUGAGGUGCUAAACAAAGGAGCAAAAUGCAGAAAAAUGAAAACUCUAAGGGAUAAGAGCAAGCUUGCAGUUGCAAUGCUGAAUGAUAACAUUGGCCAACAACUGGACUCAUCUAUAGUUAAUCAAACGAUUUUCAAAUAGAUAAUUGACAACCAAGUCACUAUACUUAAAUAUUUUCAAGUAACUAAUUCACAUUUCAAGUGACUACACUUAACCAUUUUCGAGUCACUUUAACCAUUUUCAAGUCGCUAGUACACAUUUCAAGUCACUACACUUAACCAUUUUCAAAUAACUAAUUCACAUUUCAAGUGACUACACUUAAUUAUUUUCAAGUCACUAGUACACAUUUCAAGUUACUACAUUCAAACCAUUUUCAAAUAGCUAAUUGACAUUUCAAGUCACUAUACUUAACCAUUUUCAAGUAACUAAUUCAUAUUUCAAGUAACUACACUUAAUUAUUUUCAAGUCACUACACUUAACCAUUUUCAAACAACUAAUUCAAUUGCAAGUCACUACAUUCAAACCAUUUUCAAAUAGCUAAUUGACAUUUCAAGUCACUAUACUCAAGUAACUAAUUCACAUUUUAAGUAACUACAUUUAACCAUUUUCAAAUAACUAAUUCAGUUGCAAGUCAGUACACUUAACAAUUUUCAAGUCUCUAAUUCACAUUUCAAGUCAACACUUAACCAUUUUUAAGUAAACAAUUCAUAUUUCAAGUGACUAAACUUAACCAUUUUUAAGUCACUGGUACACAUUUGAAGUCACUACAUUUAACCAUUUUCAAAUAACUAAUUCACGUUGCAAGUUACUAUACUUAAACAUUUUCAAGUCACUAGUAUACAUUUCAAAUUACUACACUUAACCAUUUUCAAUCAACUAAUUCACAUUUCAAGUCAUUAUAUUUAACAAUUUUCAAGUAACUACAUUUUAUCAUUUUCAAAUAACUAUGCUUAACCCUUUUCAAAUCACUAAUACACGUUUCAAGUAGUGUCACACAUAGAUGAUCUAAUGAUGGAUUGUACUCGAGUUUCUAUUUUAGCAUAAAAUGGUAUACUUUCACUAAUACACGUUUCAAGUAGUGUCACACAUAGAUGAUCUAAUGAUGGAUUGUACUCGAGUUUCUAUUUUAGCAUAAAAUGGUAUACUUUGCCUUUCAAAUGCAAUCCAGCUAGGUUAUUCACACACACAAAGAAAGUAGAACUUUGCCAUAGAAUACAAAAAGUGAACAAGAACUAUUUCGGCCCCAUCUACGUGGAUGGACCAUAUUUUAUACGAAUGAACAUUAAAGGAAAAGGCGAAAGGAAUAAAAUAUUGAGAUGAAGCAUCAUAUCACCACCUAGAAGAUCCUAUAUAACAAUCUUUUAUACUCAUCAAGUGUAGACAUAGCUUAUGAAUAAAAUAGUUCAUCAUUGAACACUUCCCGUCUCCUAAUCUCACUACUUUUAGUUCUCUCCUUUCCAACAGGCUAUAAAGAAAGGGAAACAUAGGUGAGAUCAAUAAAGACAUUUAGCUCCAAAGAAAAAUGAAAUUGCGUUCUUUCCAAGUCUCGCUAUCACGUUAUGCAUUCUAACAGUAACAAGCAGAGCUCAUGAAAUUUCCCAUAUGUCAAAAACAAACAGAGAUUUCCAUGUCUCUAAACAUCUUGUUGGUGCACCAAAAAGAAACAGUGAGUGUCGUUGCAGACAUAAGUGGCAAUAUCAAUAAGUUUGAGUUAGAAACCAACAAAUUUAUACCAGAUGUUGAUUCUGCCGUCUGGAAUCGCGACGACAACAGUUGUUGAUUCUGCCAGAUGGAAUCGCGGCCGGCGGAGCUGGUUCAUUUUCGCCGAUAAAACCUAGCGUUUGGCUUGGUUCACCGGCGACAGAGGAGAAGAGAAAGAGAUGAAGGGCGGCGGAGAGAGUUUUCCACCAGCCAGAGGUGGCCGGCGGUGGUGCGGUUGUUGAAGAUAGAGGAGAGAAAAAGGGUGGUGGGCGGCUGAUUGGAUUAUUCUAAAAAGAGAAAAAUGAAAUCUGAUUUGGGGGUUUGAUUUCUUUAGAAGGUAAAGAAAUGGGAGAUUUGAUCUUAAUCGUCGACUAUAUAAGAUCGAUGGUUAUGAUUAAAAUUAAAAUAUGUUAGUUAAUGAAUUGGGUUUAAAUUGACAUUAGUUUAGGCUAAAAUUGGCAUUAACUUAGUAUCAAAAUGCCUAAAAAUUAAAUAACUUGAAAAAUUGGAUUAAAUUUAGGUUGUUAUUUAAUAAAUAUAAUAAAUAACUUAAUAAUGGUACUGAGAAAAAUAUAAAAUUAUUAUUUUUAAAAAGAAAUAAAUUAUAUGUAUAAAAUUAAUGUUGUGUGAUAUAAAAUUGAUGGUAAUGAUUUGAAGCAAAUUAGGUGCAAAUUUUACGGAAUGAUAUUAUCAUAAUAAUAAUAAUAAUAA